UCGACAAAUCCACAUUUCUUAGAGAAACACUUGACGGUGUUUCGCCAAGUAAGGAGGCAUCGUCAGGAAGAUGAUAAAAACAACACACUUCCCGUUGACUAUCCAGAUAACAGAUAAAAAACGUUUAUCUUGUGUUAGUAAUUUACUACAAAACUAAAACAUUUGUUAAAAUGGAACAAGAGUAAAUAAAUGGACCGGUCUUUCAGUAACACAGAUGCUGUUAUUUGUGGUAUAACAGCACUCGUUGAGAUCGUAUGUGUAGUGUCUUACAUCAUUAUAUCAUGUAUUAAGCUACGAGAAAAAACUGUUUCAAUGGGUCGACUAAUUCCUAUUAACUCGGCUUUGUUGGGAGAGGCACCAAGUCAUGUCAUACAGGUGUGUCCACCAAAUCAAUACCAAACAUUAGCACAUCCGCCAGAAUUUUCACCCCCACGACUACCACAACCACAAACUGCAUCUAACUCAAACAUCGAUAAUUCGAGGAAAACUAAUCUGUUUAAAAGUCAAAUUCGAAUGCGCCAAAAAAAGAAAUCAAGAUAUUUGUAUUUCUAUUAUAAACAACAUCUAAUACGUAAAAAAUGUAUGAAAAAAAUGAAUAAAAAGUAAACAAAAUAA